rnacentral:tRNA from 1 species
GGCUAUAUAGCUCAGCUGGUUAGAGCACGGCACUCAUAAUGCUGAGGCCGGUGGUUCAAUUCCACCUAUAGCCA